rnacentral:rRNA from 1 species
AGAGUUUGAUCCUGGCUCAGAAUCAACACUGGCGGCGUGCCUAACACAUGCAAGUCGAGCGCGAAAGCGGGGCAACUCGCAAGUAGAGCGGCGAACGGGUGAGUAACGCGUGGGUGAUCUGCCUUCGAGUGGGGAACAACACCGGGAAACUGGUGCUAAUACCGCAUGACAUCUUCGGGUCACACCGGAGAUCAAAGCCGGGGACCGCAAGGCCUGGCGCUUGAAGAGGAGCCCGCGUCCGAUUAGCUAGUUGGCGGGGUAACGGCCCACCAAGGCAACGAUCGGUAGCCGGCCUGAGAGGGCGGACGGCCACACUGGGACUGAGACACGGCCCAGACUCCUACGGGAGGCAGCAGUGGGGAAUUUUUCGCAAUGGGCGCAAGCCUGACGAAGCAACGCCGCGUGGGGGAUGAAGGUCUUCGGAUCGUAAACCCCUGUCGACCGGGACGAAAGCAUCCGACCUAAUACGUCGAGGUGUUGACUGUACCGGUGGAGGAAGCCACGGCUAACUCUGUGCCAGCAGCCGCGGUAAUACAGAGGUGGCAAGCGUUGUUCGGAAUUACUGGGCGUAAAGGGCGCGUAGGCGGUUUCGUAAGUCCCGUGUGAAAGCCCCCGGCUCAACUGGGGAAUUGCACGGGAAACUGCGAGGCUUGAGUUCGGGAGAGGGAAGCGGAAUUCCGGGUGUAGCGGUGAAAUGCGUAGAUAUCCGGAGGAACACCGGUGGCGAAAGCGGCUUCCUGGACCGACACUGACGCUGAGGCGCGAAAGCUAGGGGAGCAAACGGGAUUAGAUACCCCGGUAGUCCUAGCUGUAAACGAUGAGCGCUGGGUGUAGGGGGUUUUAACCCCCCCUGUGCCGAAGCUAACGCAUUAAGCGCUCCGCCUGGGGAGUACGGUCGCAGGCUGAAACUCAAGGAUUGACGGGGGCCGCACAGCGGUGGAGCAUGGUGGUUCAAUUCGACGCACGCCGAAGAACCUUACCGGGGUUUGAA